AUUGGAAGGGGUGUAUUUAUUAGAUAAAAAACCAAUGCCCUUCGGGGCUCCUUGGUGAUUCAUAAUAACUCAACGAAUCGCACGGCCUUGCGCCGGCGAUGGUUCAUUCAAAUUUCUGCCCUAUCAACUUUCGAUGGUAAGAUAGUGGCUUACCAUGGUCUCAACGGGUAACGGGGAAUUAGGGUUCUAUUCCGGAGAGGGAGCCUGAGAAACGGCUACCACAUCCAAGGAAGGCAGCAGGCGCGCAAAUUACCCAAUCCCAAUUCGGGGAGGUAGUGACAAUAAAUACUGAUACAGGGCUCUUUUGGGUCUUGUAAUUGGAAUGAGUACAAUCUAAAUCCCUUAACGAGGAACAAUUGGAGGGCAAGUCUGGUGCCAGCAGCCGCGGUAAUUCCAGCUCCAAUAGCGUAUAUUAAAGUUGUUGCCGUUAAAAAGCUCGUAGUUGAACCUUGGGCCUGGCUGAUCUGUCCUCCUAAUCGAGCGCACGGAUUCGGUCGGGCCUUUCCUUCUGGGGAGCCCGAUGCCCUUCACUGGGCGUCGUGGGGAACCAGGACUUUUAC
rnacentral:rRNA from 1 species